GACGAACGCUGGCGGCGUGCUUAACACAUGCAAGUCGAACGGAAAGGCCCUGCUUUUGUGGGGGGCUCGAGUGGCGAACGGGUGAGUAACACGUGAGUAACCUGCCCUUGACUUUGGGAUAACUUCAGGAAACUGGGGCUAAUACCGGAUAGGAGCUCCUGCUGCAUGGUGGGGGUUGGAAAGUUUCGGCGGGUGGGGAUGGACUCGCGGCUUAUCAGCUUGUUGGUGGGGUAGUGGCUUACCAAGGCUUUGACGGGUAGCCGGCCUGAGAGGGUGACCGGCCACAUUGGGACUGAGAUACGGCCCAGACUCCUACGGGAGGCAGCAGUGGGGAAUAUUGCACAAUGGGCGGAAGCCUGAUGCAGCAACGCCGCGUGCGGGAUGACGGCCUUCGGGUUGUAAACCGCUUUCGCCUGUGACGAAGCGUGAGUGACGGUAAUGGGUAAAGAAGCACCGGCUAACUACGUG
rnacentral:rRNA from 1 species